GACGAACGCUGGCGGCGUGCUUAACACAUGCAAGUCGAACGGAAAGGCCCUGCUUGCAGGGUGCUCGAGUGGCGAACGGGUGAGUAACACGUGGGUGAUCUGCCCCUUACUUUGGGAUAAGCCUGGGAAACUGGGUCUAAUACUGGAUAGGACCAUGCUGUAGGUGGUGUGGUGGAAAGAUUAGUUUCGGUAAGGGAUGAGCUCGCGGCCUAUCAGCUUGUUGGUGGGGUAAUGGCCUACCAAGGCGUCGACGGGUAGCCGGCCUGAGAGGGUGGACGGCCACGUUGGGACUGAGAUACGGCGCAGACGCCUGCGGGAGGCAGCAGUGGGGAAUAGUGCACAAGGGGCGCAAGCCGGAUGCAGCGACGCCGCGUGGGGGAUGACGGCCUUCGGGUUGUAAACUCCUUUCAGCCAUGACGAAGCCCUUGUGGUGACGGUAGUGGUAGAAGAAGCACCGGCUAACUACGUG
rnacentral:rRNA from 1 species